AGACGUCUACAUUAGAUACCCGCGUAGUCCCAGCCGUAAACUAUGCGCGUUAGGUGUAUCGGUGACCACGAGUUACCGAGGUGCCGAAGGGAAACCGUGAAACGUGCCGCCUGGGAAGUACGGUCGCAAGGCUGAAACUUAAAGGAAUUGGCGGGGAGCACCACAACGGGUGGAGUCUGCGGUUUAAUUGGACUCAACGCCGGGAAGCUCACCGGAUAAGACAGCGGAAUGAUUGCCGGGCUGAAGACUCUGCAUGACUAGCUG
rnacentral:rRNA from 1 species